UACGGAAGGCAGCAGUGGGGAAUAUUGCACAAUGGGCGCAAGCCUGAUGCAGCCAUGCCGCGUGUAUGAAGAAGGCCUUCGGGUUGUAAAGUACUUUCAGCCGUGAGGAAGGUGUUAAGGUUAAUAACCUUAGCAAUUGACGUUAGCGACAGAAGAAGCACCGGCUAACUCCGUGCCAGCAGCCGCGGUAAUACGGAGGGUGCGAGCGUUAAUCGGAAUUACUGGGCGUAAAGGGCACGCAGGCGGUUAAUUAAGUUGGAUGUGAAAUCCCCGGGCUUAACCUGGGAAUGGCAUUCAAGACUGGUUAGCUAGAGUCUUGUAGAGGGGGUAGAAUUCCAUGUGUAGCGGUGAAAUGCGUAGAGAUGUGGAGGAAUACCGGUGGCGAAGGCGGCCCCUGGACAAAGACUGACGCUCAUGUGCGAAAGCGUGGGGAGCAAACAGGGAUUAGAUACC
rnacentral:rRNA from 1 species